AUGGAGCUUGUGGUGGGCACUUCGGAGGAGAAUAUGCGGUCCCUCCUGAGCAAACUAGGCGGCCUUCUCUCCGAGGAGUACACCCUGAUUAGGGGCGUCGACGGGGACCUCCAGUACAUCAACGACGAGCUCGCCACCAUGCAGUCCUUCCUCCGCUACGUUGGCUCAAGACGUGGCCACGACGACCUGACCAAGGACUGGAUGAAGCAGAUCCGCGACCUCACCUACGACAUUGAAGACUGCAUCGACGACUCCGGCAACCGCCUCCACGGCCUGCCCACCGGCAUGCCCUGCUAUUUCCUCCUCAACAGCGUCUUCGAGAUCCUCACGUGGUGGCCUCGCCGCGAUAUUGCCGCUAGGAUAUCAACCCUCAAGAUGAGGGCGCAGCAAAUCGGCGAGCGGCGCCAAAGGUAUGUUGUCAACGACCCCUGGACCGGCGAACCGCCUGCGGGUGCCGGUCCGCCCACCAAGGCCGCAGUAUUUGUAGCUGCGGACAACCAGGAUGUCCGCCUUCAGCUUGUCGACAUGAAGGACCCCGUGGGAGUGGAGCAGCAGAUGAAGGACCUCAGAAGGUGGGUGACUUACCUUGUCGGGUUCGGAGGGGUGGGGAAGACCGCAAUAGCCACCGCAUUGUACAGGAAAUUUAAGGAGAAUUUCGUCCACACUGCGGUGGUCACAGUGUCUCAGAGCUCCGACGUGGAAGCCAUUCUCAGGAGCAUCAUCAAUCAAAUCAAGCCCAAGGCCAGCAAUCGCCAGGAGGAGGGCGGUUCAACCAAGAGUGCCAUGGCCACUAUUAAAGGCGUAAUGGUCAAGUACUGCAGCGCUGGCACCUCGGAGGGAAAGCAUGAUGGCACCAAGAAACAACUCAUGAACGAGCUCAAGCAGCUCAUCGAGAAAAAAAGGUACUUGUUGUUAAUUGAUGACGUAUGGUCUGCAAGUAUGCUGGAAAAUAUUAUAAAAGAACUUCCUGAUGAUAAAACCAGCAGAAUAAUAGUUACGACGCGGUUCCAUUCUGUGGCUACACCCAAAAGAGACACAGAACUUCGUCGAGUCACUGGUCUUGCUGAAGAAAAAUCCAAGAAAUUAUUUGAGCAGGCCUUCUCUGAGUCCAAAGGAAACAAAGAUGUUGCUAUUAUAUGGCCUCAAGAUUUUUCUGCACCACCCAACACAGAAGAAGUCAUCGCCCAGGAUGUGCCCAGGGAAACUAGGGGCCGAAUCCAGCCACAUUGGCGACUCAAUAUUUUGACACACAAAGUGCGCACAAGAAUACUGCUGAGAAGAGUACGCCGUCCAACGAAGAAAAAACAUGUCCAUUCAUGUAAGCAAGGCACCCCUGAAACUGAAAGCCAAGGUAGUGAAGAUGCCACUGUCCCCAAUGAAGUCUGGAAGAUGUGUGGGGGGCUGCCAUUGGCCAUAGUUACCAUGGCUGGUCAUGUGGCCUGCAACCCGGACAAAUCAUUGAAGGAUUGGUCCGACGUUUGCAGCUCUCUAUUCCCGGAGUUAGGACAAGAUCAUAUCAAAAAACUUACGCAGGAGGAAGUGGGUAGGAUCAUUAGCUAUUGCUAUGACGACAUGCCUGCGGAAAUCAAGACUUGCUCGAUGUAUUUGAGCAUAUUUCCGAAGGGUGACAGAAUCAGCCGGAAGCGUUUGACAAGGCGAUGGAUAGCCGAGGGCUUUGUCCGCGAGAAGCAUGGGCUGAGUAUGGAAGAAGUUGCAGAGACGUAUUUCAAUCAUCUCAUAAGAAGGAAGAUCAUCCGGCCAGUGGAGCACAGCAGCAAUGGAAAGGUAAAGAAAUGCACAGUUCAUGACAUGGUUCUCGAGCACAUUGUAGCAAAGGCAAGCGAAGAGAAUUUCAUCACCGUAGUUGGUGGUAACUGGCUAAUGCAGCCAUCUAGCAGCAAGGUCCGUCGGCUGUCCCUCCAAGCCUGUGAUUCCAACCGUGCAAAGGAUACAGAAAAGAUGAACAUGUCACAUGUUCGAUCAGUAACCAUGUUUGGAAGUUUGAACAACCAGUUGCAUGCCCAUUUGUUCAAGCUUGAAAUUGUGCAGAUCAUGGAUCUUGAAGGAUGCAAGGGUUUUAAACAGCACCAUAUCAUAGAGAUUUGCAGAAUGGUUCUGCUCAAAGAGACAGAUAUUGUCGAGUUGCCAGCCACCAUAUGCCAGCUUGAAUGGCUGGUUAACAUACUUGGUGGCAAUAAAACAACACGGAAGGCACUGAAGCUUCCAGAAGAGUUGAACAGUAGAAAGAAAAUGAAGGCUUUGCGCAUACUGUCGGGGAUUGAGAUUGAUGAGGCAUCAGUGGAUCUUCAUCAUUUGACUGAGCUGAGGAAGCUUGCAAUCUACAAGCUGAAUACCAAGGGGAGCACUGCAAAUUUCAAAGAUUUAAUCUCCUCUAUUGAGUACCUCGGUGGCUAUUCUCUACAGACCCUUGUAAUUGAUGACGAGUCAUCGGAGUUUAUCAAAUCACUAGAUGACCUGUCAUCCCCUCCGAAAUUUCUUAUUGCCCUUGAGUUAUCAGGCAAGAUGGCUAAGCUCCCCAAUUGCUUGCAACACCUCCAUACUCUCAGCAAGUUAACCCUUUCUGUUACAGCUCUCCGGACUGAUAACUUAAAGGAUCUCAGCAACCUAGAGGCAUUGUUUUCUCUCACCUUUUCUUUUAGGGAAAAAGGGCAGGAUCGAGAAACACUGGCCAUUGUCGCAGAAAAUAAGAUGUACUCCAAGGGGAAGGUCACAGUUCCAGCAGAUGGCUUUAAGAGUCUUAAGCUUAUGCGCCUCUUUGUCUCUGGUCUUGUCUUGCCAUUAUUGAGCUUCUCCAAUAAGGCUAUGCCAGACCUGGAAAGGCUUGAGCUACGUUACAACAUGCUGGAGGGCCUUUAUGGGGUAGAAAACCUUGCAAAACUCAAGGAGGUGCAUUUUACAUCAGACGCCAAAGCUAAUGAAGACAUCAAACGUGAGGCUGAACUUGGUAGCAAGAGGUAUGGAUAUGAUGGCAGCACCGAGCGCAACGCCAAAUAUACGGUGCGAGAUGGAGAACGUAGCACUCAGCUGUGGCUUCUUCAGAGGAAGAUGGGGAGACAAUGGGCGGUUUGCAACAGGAGCUGA
rnacentral:rRNA from 1 species